rnacentral:rRNA from 1 species
UACGUAGGUGGCAAGCGUUGUCCGGAUUUACUGGGCGUAAAGGGCGUGCAGGCGGUUUGUUAAGUCUGGGGUGAAAGCUCCCGGCUCAACUGGGAGAGGUCCUUGGAUACUGGCAGACUUGAGGAGAGUAGAGGAGAGUGGAAUUCCCGGUGUAGUGGUGAUAUGCGUAGAUAUCGGGAGGAACACCAGUGGCGAAGGCGGCUCUCUGGGCUCUACCUGACGCUGAGACGCGAAAGCGUGGGGAGCGAACCGG